UACGUAGGGUGCGAGCGUUAAUCGGAAUUACUGGGCGUAAAGCGUGCGCAGGCGGUUCGUUGUGUCCGUCGUGAAAGCCCCGGGCUUAACCUGGGAACUGCGAUGGAAACUAGCGAGCUGGAGUGUGGCAGAGGGGGGUGGAAUUCCGCGUGUAGCAGUGAAAUGCGUAGAGAUGUGGAGGAAUACCGAUGGCGAAGGCAGCCUCCUGGGAUAACACUGACGCUCAUGCACGAAAGCGUGGGGAGCAAACAGG
rnacentral:rRNA from 1 species